GUGUCAGCAGCCGCGGUAAGACAGGGGGUGCAAACGUUGUUCGGAAUCACUGGGCAUAAAGCGCACGUAGGCCGCCAACUAAGUCAGAUGUGAAAGCCCCCGGCUCAACCGGGGAACAGCACCUGAUACUGGUUGGCUCGAGGACGGUAGGGGUGAGUGGAACUCCAGGUGGAGCGGUGAAAUGCGUAGAUAUCUGGAGGAACGCCGGUGGCGAAAGCGGCUCACUGGACCGUCUCUGACGCUGAGGUGCGAAAGCUAGGGGAGCAAACGGGAUUAGAAACCCGCGUAGUCC
rnacentral:rRNA from 1 species